CCAAAAGGAGGCACUGGAAUUCUAAGAGCAGGAGCACAUAUACUCCAGCAACGAGACAAAGAACCCUGAGGUAUGUUGGACCAGUGAAGCACUAUUUCCCUAACACCACUUUGGUUCUGGAAGUUUAGGACAAGGCAGCUCAAAGAUCUGUCCAUAUAAGCCUAAACAUGAGUAGGGCAUGCUCUUCGUGGGACUCCAGGCUACUCAGAAGUGGC